CCUGGGAGAACCGCUUUCUUGACAUUAAUCUCAGAGAUGGAGUCAUGGUACGUGAGAAUGAAUCAGCUGAAGAUAAGAAUGCCACCAAGCCCCAGAUAAAAUCUGCUGGCAAGAAACCAAUUGCAUCUAAUCUUCACUCCAGCCUGUCUAGUCAGAAAGCAGGUCCAUCGCAUUCUGAUGGCAGUAGUUCUUCACCAGGUAUAUCGGCAGGCAUGUUGGAAGCAACAGCAACACAGUUGCCCAAGCCAAAGUCCAAGCCACCUGUUGAAGAUCUAAUGGAAGAAGCCAACUCAAGGCCUGCUGGUAUCAGUUCAAGAUCCCACAGCAACCCAAAAG
rnacentral:lncRNA from 1 species